rnacentral:rRNA from 1 species
CGGGGCUUAAAGUCUUGUAAUUGGAAUGAUGGGAAUUUAAACCUCUUCCAGAGUAUCAAUUGGAGGGCAAGUCUGGUGCCAGCAGCCGCGGUAAUUCCAGCUCCAAUAGCGUAUAUUAAAAUUGUUGCAGUUAAAAAGCUCGUAGUUGAAUUUCUGCUGCAUCGCUGUGUCCCUUCGGGGUCUCUGCAUGUGGCUUAUUUCGGACGGAGUUCGCUUUGUCUGGACGUUUACUUUGAGAAAAUUAGAGUGCUCAAAGCAGGCUUUUGCCUUGAAUAGUUUAGCAUGGAAUAAUAAAGUAGGACUUUGGUUCUAUUUUGUUGGUUUUAGGUACCAAAGUAAUGGUUAAUAGGAACAGUUGGGGGCAUUCGUAUUUAACUGUCAGAGGUGAAAUUCUUAGAUUUGUUAAAGACGAACUACUGCGAAAGCAUUUGCCAAGGAUGUUUUCAUUAAUCAAGAAC